rnacentral:rRNA from 1 species
GAUGAACGCUGGCGGCGUGCCUAAUACAUGCAAGUCGAGCGAACAGACGAGGAGCUUGCUCCUCUGACGUUAGCGGCGGACGGGUGAGUAACACGUGGAUAACCUACCUAUAAGACUGGGAUAACUUCGGGAAACCGGAGCUAAUACCGGAUAAUAUAUUGAACCGCAUGGUUCAAUAGUGAAAGACGGUUUUGCUGUCACUUAUAGAUGGAUCCGCGCCGCAUUAGCUAGUUGGUAAGGUAACGGCUUACCAAGGCAACGAUGCGUAGCCGACCUGAGAGGGUGAUCGGCCACACUGGAACUGAGACACGGUCCAGACUCCUACGGGAGGCAGCAGUAGGGAAUCUUCCGCAAUGGGCGAAAGCCUGACGGAGCAACGCCGCGUGAAUGAUAAAGGUCCUCGGAUCGUAAAACUCUGUUAUUAGGGAAGAACAAAUGUGUAAGUAACUAUGCACGUCUUGACGGUACCUAAUCAGAAAGCCACGGCUAACUACGUG